GUCCUUGUGCAUGCAUGGAUCGCCUCCUCAUUCCAUCCGUUCUCACUCUUCUCUCUCUCUCUCCAUUAGGUUGAACAGGAUGAGAUCUCGAUUGCACAUCACCUUCCAUUGAACGUGUAGCAUGCAGUAUUUGAGCUUGCUGGGUUGUGGUGAUCGGUCGCCGGGGGGAUAUGGCUGGCUUCGUCAGAUCGUCAUCCAUUGAUACGUGUUAGGAGUGGCUAGCAUCGUUUCAGAUCUGCAUCAUGUUCUUCUGAACCUCAGAGGUGAGGUGCCAACUGCUAGGCUGCGGGCCGGCGUUCGUCGAUCGUCGCCAUGGGGCCGGAAGUGGCUGUUGCACUUGCGGUGGUGGGAUGGUUCGUCUCGCCGCACAUAACCAAGCUCAUGGAGGUCGCACGAUCCUGCGCUUCCAGCAAGUACAAGCUGCCAAGGGGCAUGAGGAAGAAGCUGCUGAAACUGGCGCAAGAUCUGGGGGACAUCAAGGACUUCCUGGAUCCAGCUACUAUGGGGGGCUCCGUCAGCGACAGGACCUGGGUCAACCGUCUGUGGAGUCUCAAGGAUGCCAUCCAUGACGCGGAGGAGAUCCUGGACUUGUUCGAGUGGCAUAUCCUUGAGGCCGAGGCAGCUAAAAACCUUAAGAAGCGCUCCGGCGGUGGUGGUGGCAGUGCUAGCAGCAGUGGCAGGAAAUCCGCAUAUUCUUGGUGGAUUUUCACCACCAACACCAGUGGUCCGUCACUGAAUCAGCUCAAGGAAGUGCUCAAGAACCUAGGGGAGCUUCGUGAGAGGAUGCGAGAGCUCUGCGAGAAUCCUGCCACUCGGCGUGCUGUACUUUCUCCACUCUGCAGAGCACCCUUGGGCCCGGAGCCAGUAAGGGAGAAGAAGCUCUUCUUCGGGUACGGCGUGGAGUAUGAGCAGCUAGUCUCCAUGCUCGGGGACGGCAACUGCAAGGACAAGAAAGUUAUCUCCCUCAUAGGCCAUGGCGGGAUGGGGAAGACCGAGCUUGCUCGCCAGGCGUACCGCCAUGUCCGAGGCAAGUUUGAUCGGCCCAUAUGGGUGCCUGCCUACGGCAAGAAUGCUCAGUUUGACCUUCUGGCAGAGAUUUGGAAGUCGGCCGUCGGCGAAAAAUCAGUCCAGGAGAUGAACAUUUCUAGCCUUCAGGACAAGCUCAAGGCACAACUGGCAUCCCAGAGGUGCCUGCUUGUGCUGGAUGAUGUAUGGAGCGACGAAAAGGACAUGAACGAGAGCGAGAGAAGGACUGCGCUGCGCUGCUUCACUGAUUUCGUGGGCGUCGGGAGUCGCAUCGUAAUGACGACGCGAUCCAGGAUUUGUUCGACGAAACUGGGCGCAGAAGAAACCAUCUUCCUGAAUGGGAUCAAACCUGAAGAGAUGAUGCUUCUGCUCAACGACACCGCAAAUCCCAGCGCCGAUGGUACCAGCGGCAUCCAGGGGAUGCUCAAAAGCGACGUGCUCAAGCUCAAGGGGUCCCCUUCGGCGGCCAUAGAGAUCGGCGAGAAGUUGAAGGCACGAAACGCAAGCUGCGGGCGCGAGCGACGCGGCGGCAUCCUGGCAAACAUGGAAUGCCACAUCGCCGGCGUGUUAGUAAGCCAUCUCGCCAGCUAUGACCAUCUGCCACCGCACCUCCAGCGUUGCUUCGCGUUCUGCAGCAUAUUCCCAAACGGUUGGAGGUUUGAGCCUGAGAAGCUGACCAAGAUGUGGAUGGCUCUUGGUUUCGUCGAGGAGAAGGCCCAUCAUCCUCAGGUUGGAAAUGGGAUGAGCAGCAUGGAAGACGUUGCCAGAGGCUAUUUCCAAGAGCUGGUGGACCGCUCCUUGUUUGAGUUAGAACAGAGCAAGGGUGGAGGAGACAAACAUAAUCGGUACGUGAUUCACGAGCACAUUCAUCGGAUGGAUACGUGAUGCCUCUUCCAAGAAUUGCAUAAGCAUCUCUCGUGCGAGCACCGGAGACAAGACUAGCAUCCCUCCAAGGGUUCGCCACUUGUCAGUUACCAGCGGCUGCCUUGAUCAGCUGAAUGAGUACUCCAUAGGACUCGGCAAUCUGCGGACCUUGAUAGUCCUAAAGGAUGAUGGUGUCGUUGCCAUUGACAAAGAUAUACUCCAACAAUUCAAGGGUGUGAGAGUACUGGAUCUGACAGAGACAGGCAUAACUCAACUUCCAGCGAGUAUUGGCAAGCUGAAACAUGUGAGGUACCUAGGCCUUCCUAGCACCGUCAGCAGUGAUCUCGGUGAUCAAGUCACCAAGCUAUUGUUUCUUCAGACACUGAGUGUGGGCCAGGAGGAGGACAAAGGGGAAAAGAGAGAGUGCAUCACCAACAUAAGUGGCAUAGGAAGGCUGGUUAAACUUCGAGAGUCGAUCGAGUUCCAGGUGAUGAGGGCAUCGGAGAAGGAAGGGCACAGCCUGUGGGAGCUGGCCGGGAUGAAGUCUCUUGGGAAGACGCUGAGCAUAAAGGGCCUGGACGCCGUCGCGAGCAAAGAGGAAGCCAAGCAGGCUCGGCUUGACAACAAGUGUUCCGUCAAGGUCCUGAAGCUUCAAUGGGGAGCCCCGGAUGCGCGCCACGGAGAACCUGUCGCCCGAAGCUCUGCUGCUGCUGACCCCGCGCCCGCGGUGGCCGUCCUCCAAGGUCUCCAGCCCCACCACUACCUCCAUGAACUUCGUAUCGAGAGGUAUUCCGGGGAGACGUCGCCUACCUGGCUCAGCGGACUGGAGAAGCUGACGCGCCUGUACCUCAAGAACUGCAGGAAGCUCAAGGCCCUUCCGGCCCUGGGCCAGCUCCCGUGCCUUGAGCUUCUCGAAAUCAAGGAGCUUUGUGUUGUUGCGAGGAUCGACGGCGGCUUCUGCGGUGGCGGCGCGUUCCCCAAGCUUAAGAAGAUCGUGCUGGACGACAUGAAGGAACUGGUGGCGUGGAAUGACAAUGACAUGCCGAAAGUUGCGUUCCCUCUGCUCAGGGACGUGAGCAUCGCCGACUGCCCGCUGCUGUCGUCCUUGUCGGCCCUCGGGCGCUGCACAGGUCCCAUUGAUCUGCGCGUCAAGGGUGAGUGCCCUCACAUUACACCAGACACCCUGCCCGCAGCUUUCAGGAACGGUGUCUCAACCUGCAAAUUCCACUAGAGCUGUGCGUCCCUCCCUACGUGCACGCUUCGUGGUGCAGUUUCUCUUUGUCAGUUUUCGUCACUGGGCCUGUAAUAAUA
rnacentral:rRNA from 1 species